AUUGAACGCUGGCGGCAUGCCUUACACAUGCAAGUCGAACGGCAGCGGGGGAGAAGCUUGCUUUUCCUGCCGGCGAGUGGCGAACGGGUGAGUAAUACAUCGGAACGUGCCCUGUAGUGGGGGAUAACUAGUCGAAAGAUUAGCUAAUACCGCAUACGACCUGAGGGUGAAAGUGGGGGACCGCAAGGCCUCAUGCUAUAGGAGCGGCCGAUGUCUGAUUAGCUAGUUGGUGGGGUAAAGGCCUACCAAGGCGACGAUCAGUAGCUGGUCUGAGAGGAAGAUAGGCCACACUGGGACUGAGACACGGCCCAGACUCCUACGGGAGGCAGCAGUGGGGAAUUUUGGACAAUGGGCGAAAGCCUGAUCCAGCAAUGCCGCGUGUGUGAAGAAGGCCUUCGGGUUGUAAAGCACUUUUGUCCGGAAAGAAAUGGCUCUGGUUAAUACCUGGGGUCGAUGACGGUACCGGAAGAAUAAGGACCGGCUAACUACGUGCCAGCCGCCGCCGUAA
rnacentral:rRNA from 1 species